rnacentral:rRNA from 1 species
GACGUAGGGUGCGAGCGUUGUCCGGAUUUAUUGGGCGUAAAGAGCUCGUAGGCGGCUCGUCGCGUCGACCGUGAAAACCCGCAGCUUAACUGCGGCUUGCGGUUGAUACGGGCGGGCUAGAGUUCGGUAGGGGAGACUGGAAUUCCUGGUGUAGCGGUGAAAUGCGCAGAUAUCAGGAGGAACACCGGUGGCGAAGGCGGGUCUCUGGGCCGAUACUGACGCUGAGGAGCGAAAGCGUGGGGAGCGAACAGG